rnacentral:rRNA from 1 species
UACGAGAGGCCCAAACGUUAUUCGGAUUUACUGGGCUUAAAGAGUUCGUAGGCGGUCUGGUAAGUGGGGUGUGAAAGCCCUCGGCUCAACCGAGGAAUUGCGCUCCAAACUGCCAGGCUUGAGGGAGAUAGAGGUGAGCGGAACUGAUGGUGGAGCGGUGAAAUGCGUUGAUAUCAUCAGGAACACCAGAGGCGAAGGCGGCUCACUGGGUCUUUUCUGACGCUGAGGAACGAAAGCUAGGGGAGCAAACGGGAUUAGAAACCCCGUAGUCC